rnacentral:rRNA from 1 species
GUCAGUCCACUUGACUGGCUUGAUCAAAUCUGAUGUUGGAAGCUAAGCAGGGUCAGGCCUGGUUAGUUCUUGGAUGGGAGACCCUAAAGAGUCCAUGCCAGACC